rnacentral:rRNA from 1 species
UACGUAGGGUGCAAGCGUUAAUCGGAAUUACUGGGCGUAAAGGGCUCGUAGGCGGCCAACUAAGUCGGAUGUGAAAUCCCCAGGCUCAACCUGGGAACUGCAUCCGAUACUGGAUGGCUUGAAUUCGGGAGAGGGAUGCAGAAUUCCAGGUGUAGCGGUGAAAUGCGUAGAUAUCUGGAGGAAUACCGGUGGCGAAGGCGGCAUCCUGGACCGACAUUGACGCUGAGGAGCGAAAGCUAGGGGAGCAAACGGG